rnacentral:piRNA from 1 species
UGGGAACUGUGUGCAGGGUCUAUUGAGA